rnacentral:rRNA from 1 species
AGCGAACGCUGGCGGCAUGCUUAACACAUGCAAGUCGAGCGCCCAGCAAUGGGAGCGGCGGACGGGUGAGUAACACGUGGGAACAUGCCCUUCGGUACGGAAUAACUCAGGGGAAACUUGUGCUAAUACCGUAUGCGCCCUAACGGGGAAAGAUUUAUCGCCGAAGGAUUGGCCCGCGUCUGAUUAGCUUGUUGGUGGGGUAACGGCCCACCAAGGCUUCGAUCAGUAGCUGGUCUGAGAGGAUGAUCAGCCACAUUGGGACUGAGACACGGCCCAAACUCCUACGGGAGGCAGCAGUGGGGAAUCUUGGACAAUGGGCGAAAGCCUGAUCCAGCAAUGCCGCGUGUGGGAAGAAGGCCUUCGGGUUGUAAACCACUUUUGGCGGGAAAGAAAUGGUCAGUGCUAAUACCACGGAUUGAUGACGGUACCCGCAGAAUAAGCACCGGCUAACUACGUG